rnacentral:lncRNA from 1 species
GAGCUCCAGAUAAGAAUUCACAAAUUGGGAUUUUUACCCACCAUUUUCUUAUAUAAUUGGGUGAUAAAGUUUUUUGAUUGCAUUAUCAAUUCCAAUUCACCCCUCAUGUUAAUAUCAAAUUGGGUUUUUCACCACCAAGCUCCUUAAUAAAUUGUUUCAUCAACACAAUAUUGAAUAUUUGGGCAAUAUCAACCCCAGAUUUGUUUUCCAUCAUAAAUAUGUUUCUUUCUUUGUUUAGCUGUUUUAUUUGGUUUAGGGUUAGGGUUAGGGUUAUUUGCUAGCUGUUUUAUUUGGUUUAUUGACCGAGAAGCAAUUGUAGGUUAAAUUUGUGUUCCGUUUCAAACCUUCUGCAAGUUUUGUAUUUUCUCAUAUAAAUUGUAAAAAAACGGAUAUAUAUGUGUAUUCACAGGCACUCGUCUUAUACCUUUAUAUAAUAAAUUCUGAUACCAGUGCCUGUGUGUGUAUUCAUUAAUUAACCGUAAAAUGAAAAAAAUAGUAUAUAAACUCUAAUUAUACUUGAAUGUUUUUGUUAUUCCAAUUUUCAUAAUCUGGUUUAGUUGUCUUUUAUUCGUUUUUGAGGAAACCCUGCUUUUAUUAGCAAUGUUCUCCUUAAGUACGCACACACGCCUGUUUUUUCGAUG